AUGGAGCUAAGCGCAGCCACCCUAGUGCUCUCCCUCCUCUCACUUGCGAUUCUCGUGGGCUUUUUUGGCCGCAAAUCAACACCAAGUCGGCGAGCUCCCGGACCACGGUGUCUGCCUGUUAUCGGGAGCCUCCACCACCUUCUCACGCCGCAGCCACAGGUCGCCCUCCGAGACCUGGCCAAGAAGCAUGGCCCGGUGAUGUACCUCCGGCUGGGCCAGAUCGACGCCCUGGUGGUGUCCUCCCCGGCGGCGGCAAAGGAGGUGCUCCGAGACAAGGAUCUCAAAUUUGCGUCCCGGCCGAGCAUUCUGGUCUCGGAGGUCAUGGGCUACGGACAACGCGACGUCGUCUUCGCGCCAUACGGCGCGUACUGGCGGACGCUGCGCAAGAUCUGCACGGUGGAGCUCCUCAGCGAGCGGAAGGUGAGGCAGUUCGCGCCGGUGAGGGACAGCGAGACCAUGUCCCUCGUUAGGAACGUCCGCGAGGCCGGCCGAGGUGGCAAGCCGUUCAACCUCGGCAGGCUGCUCGUGUCCUGCUCCAACUCGAUAACCGGGAAGACGGCGUUCGGGCAGACGUGCAGCUCCGAGCUGCAGGAUCAGUUUCUCUCGGCGAUAGAUGUGGCGCUCAAGCUCAGCGCGGGGCUCUGCGUCGGGGACCUCUACCCGUCGAUGUGGUUCGUCGAUGUGGUCACCGGGCUGACAGGCCGGCUAUGGCGAGCCCGCCGGCAGCUGGACAAGGUCCUGGACAAGAUCAUCUCUCAGUCCGAGAUACGGCAAGGUGAUCACCUUCUGAGCGUUUUGCUUAGGAUCAGCGACGAGGGGGAGCUUGACUUCCCGAUCGACAUGGACAACGUCAAGGCAAUCGUAAUGGACAUGUUCACGGCCGGGACAGAGACGACAUCGUCAAUCUCCGAGUGGGUCAUGUCGGAGCUCAUGAGGAGCCCGGAGGUGAUGGCCAAGGCGCAGGCGGAGGUGCGACGAACGUUCGACAACAAGAGCCCACAAGACCAUGAGGGACUCGUAGGGGAGCUGCACUACACAAAGAUGGUAAUCAUGGAGAGCAUGAGGCUGAAUCCAGUGGUGCCACUGCUGGUUCCCCAUGUCUGCCGAGAGACCUGCGACGUCGGCGGGUUUGAGGUCACGGAGGGUACCAGGGUGAUGGUAAACACGUGGGCGUUGGGUAGGAACCCCGAGUACUGGCAUGAGCCUGAGGAGUUCAGGCCCGAGAGGUUUGAGGACGGCACUGCGACCUACAAAGGGUCGCGGUUCGAGUACUUGCCGUUCGGAAGCGGGAGGAGGAACUGCCCCGGCGACACCUUUGGGCUGGCCGUGCUGGAGCUCAUGGUGGCACGGCUUCUCUACUACUUUGACUGGAGCCUCCCUGCCGGAGUGAAGCCGGGUGAGCUGGACAUGGAAAUGAUGGUUGCCGCAACCUCAAAGAGAAAGAACCAGCUGCACCUAGUGGCAACACCGUACAAGGCAUGCAGUUUUUAA
rnacentral:rRNA from 1 species